rnacentral:rRNA from 1 species
GACGAACGCUGGCGGCGUGCUUAACACAUGCAAGUCGAACGGGCCUGUCUUCUUUUUUGGGGGUGGGUUGAGUGGCGAACGGGUGAGUAUCACGUGAGUAACCUGCCCUUCGGUCCUGGAUAACCGCUUGAAAGGGCGGCUAAUACGGGGUGGUCCGGUUGGUCCGCAUGGGCUGGUCGGGAUAGAUUCACUGUUUUUGGUGUUUCGGCGGGGGAUGGGCUCGCGGCCUAUCAGCUUGUUGGUGGGGUGAUGGCCUACCAAGGCGGUGACGGGUAGCCGGCCUGAGAGGGUGGGCGGCCACACUGGGACUGAGAUACGGCCCAGAAUCCUGCGGGAGGCAGCAGUGGGGGGUAGUGCACAAUGGGCGGAAGCCUGAUGCAGCGACGUCGCGUGAGGGAUGGAGGCCUUCGGGUUGUGAACCUCUGUUUCCGGUGGUGAAGGCCCUGUCCGUGUGGUGGGGUUGACGGUAGCCGGGGAUGAAGCGCCGGCUAACUACGUG